rnacentral:rRNA from 1 species
AAUGAACGCUGGCGGCGUGGUUAAGACAUGCAAGUCGAGGGGCAGCACGGGGGCAACCCUGGUGGCGACCGGCAAACGGGUGCGGAACACGUACGCAACCUUCCCAUAACAGGUGAAUAGCCUUUCGAAAGAGAGAUUAAUACACCGUAACAUAAUGAAGAGGCAUCUCUUUAUUAUUAUAGGCAGCAAUGUCGGUUUUGGAUGGGCGUGCGCCUGAUUAGGUAGUUGGCGGGGAACGGCCCACCAAGCCUGCGAUCAGUAACUGGUGUGAGAGCACGACCAGUCACACGGGCACUGAGACACGGGCCCGACUCCUACGGGAGGCAGCAGUAGGGAAUCUUCCACAAUGGACGAAAGUCUGAUGGAGCAACGCCGCGUGAGCGAUGAAGGCCU